rnacentral:rRNA from 1 species
UGGGGAAUUUUGGACAAUGGGCGCAAGCCUGAUCCAGCCAUGCCGCGUGCGGGAAGAAGGCCUUCGGGUUGUAAACCGCUUUUGUCAGGGAAGAAAUCUUCUGAGUUAAUACCUCGGGAGGAUGACGGUACCUGAAGAAUAAGCACCGGCUAACUACGUGCCAGCAGCCGCGGUGAAUACGUAGGGUGCAAGCGUUAAUCGGAAUUACUGGGCGUAAAGCGUGCGCAGGCGGUUUUGUAAGACAGAGGUGAAAUCCCCGGGCUCAACCUGGGAACUGCCUUUGUGACUGCAAGGCUUGAGUGCGGCAGAGGGGGAUGGAAUUCCGCGUGUAGCAGUGAAAUGCGUAGAUAUGCGGAGGAACACCGAUGGCGAAGGCAAUCCCCUGGGCCUGCACUGACGCUCAUGCACGAAAGCGUGGGGAGCAAACAGGAUUAGAUACCCUGGUAGUCCACGCCCUAAACGAUGUCAACUGGUUGUUGGGAAGGUUCCUUCUCAGUAACGUAGCUAACGCG